GACGAACGCUGGCGGCGUGCCUAAUACAUGCAAGUCGAGCGGACAGAUGGGAGCUUGCUCCCUGAAGUCAGCGGCGGACGGGUGAGUAACACGUGGGCAACCUGCCUGUAAGACUGGGAUAACUUCGGGAAACCGGAGCUAAUACCGGAUACGUUCUUUUCUCACAUGAGAGAAGAUGGAAAGAUGGUUUCGGCUAUCACUUACAGAUGGGCCCGCGGCGCAUUAGCUAGUUGGUGAGGUAAUGGCUCACCAAGGCGACGAUGCGUAGCCGACCUGAGAGGGUGAUCGGCCACACUGGGACUGAGACACGGCCCAGACUCCUACGGGAGGCAGCAGUAGGGAAUCUUCCGCAAUGGACGAAAGUCUGACGGAGCAACGCCGCGUGAACGAUGAAGGCCUUCGGGUCGUAAAGUUCUGUUGUUAGGGAAGAACAAGUACCAGAGUAACUGCUGGUACCUUGACGGUACCUAACCAGAAAGCCACGGCUAACUACGUGCCAGCAGCCGCGGUAACAC
rnacentral:rRNA from 1 species